rnacentral:tRNA from 1 species
GGUUUUAUAGUCUAGUGGUUAUCACGUCUGCUUUACACGCAGAAGGUCCUGGGUUCAAUCCCCAGUGAAACCA